ACUUCGGUCUGGCGGCUUNUGGCGAACGGGUGAGUAAUACAUCGGAACGUACCCUGUUGUGGGGGAUAACUAGUCGAAAGAUUAGCUAAUACCGCAUACGACCUGAGGGUGAAAGUGGGGGACCGCAAGGCCUCACGCAGCAGGAGCGGCCGAUGUCUGAUUAGCUAGUUGGUGGGGUAAAGGCCCACCAAGGCGACGAUCAGUAGCUGGUCUGAGAGGACGAUCAGCCACACUGGGACUGAGACACGGCCCAGACUCCUACGGGAGGCAGCAGUGGGGAAUUUUGGACAAUGGGGGCAACCCUGAUCCAGCAAUGCCGCGUGUGUGAAGAAGGCCUUCGGGUUGUAAAGCACUUUUGUCCGGAAAGAAAUCGCGCUGGUUAAUACCUGGCGUGGAUGACGGUACCGGAAGAAUAAGCACCGGCUAACUACGUGCCAGCAGCCGCGGUAAUACGUAGGGUGCGAGCGUUAAUCGGAAUUACUGGGCGUAAAGCGUGCGCAGGCGGUUUUGUAAGACAGGCGUGAAAUCCCCGGGCUUAACCUGGGAAUUGCGCUUGUGACUGCAAGGCUAGAGUGCGUCAGAGGGGGGUAGAAUUCCACGUGUAGCA
rnacentral:rRNA from 1 species